CCAAAUAACAGUGUAGGAUUUAACACAUUAAUACGGAUAGUAAUAUGUACAGGGUUUUAUACUUUAUAAAUAUUAGUGAAAUCAAGAUGGAUAUAUGUGUUAAUUCUUUGCCUGAACUAUAACCUAACUACUGGACCACUGUGCAUGGUGAGUACGGCUUCUUUUUGGUAAUCAUAAUAUACUUAUCGAAAAACGUUAUGCAACAGAACAUCAUAUUGAAAAUUAUGUGAACCAAAAUAUCCAUUUAUCUUUCAAGUUUUUUAUCUUCAGUUAUUGGUUUGUUCAACAAUUCUUCAACUAUGUUGAUCAAAUUUCAAAAAACUAUACUUUUCGCAACCUUAAGGAGGUUCGCUACUCUGUCUAAAAACAACAAGCUUUUUUAAAGACUGUUAGAAAUUGAUAGUAUAUAAAUAAACUAACUAAAAAAGCAGAAAAAAUGGAGGGUCCAUGUGCUUGUUUUCGAGAUAUAAACCACUGCAAAUUUGGCGGGAAAUUAUUUGCCUAGAUUUUUCUUUCACUUAACAUUGGCACCUUUUUUGUUUAAAGAAAAUAUGAAAAAUAACAAGGAUUCAAAAGAUUUUGAAAUAUGGCAUUUUAAACAAUAUUUAAUAAGAAUAUGAAAAGAAAAGAGGGGGUUAGUGGGUAAAUUUUUGUAAUGUUAAUACAUGGAUGAAAACAGAGGAUUCAGAAAAUCUGGCAACAAUUCCAAAAAUAGAGGAGCAAACAUCCUUAAGAGAAGAUGUCAAAAUUGAAAUCAACAGUUAUAACUUUUUUUCUAAUGGAAAAAAAAGAUUACAACGCACAACUUUGGGGAUUUAAAUCCCAUCCAUGAUGAAUUAUAUCAAUGCAUAAAUUCGCAGUUUGAGGUGGCACUAUUUUACUCCUAUCUAAUCUUAGUAUUUUCUAAUAACUAAUUUGACAUCAUUUACAAUAGGAAGUAGUUUGAUUUUUUUGAAAUAACGACCUUUUAGGCAAAAAUAGCAAACUUAAUAAAACCUUUCUGAGUUAUGUUGAUUUGAUUGAUAAAUAAAGAGGUAAAUAAAAUCUUAACAUUGAGAAUAAGAUUAGUCCUUGUGAUAUCACUUUGAUUUCAUAAACAUUGCAAGAUUUACGUAUUUUACCCAAAUUAGUUAUUUUCAGCAAUGUUGGUGAUCAACACAUAUAUGAGCAACCGCAUAUUUUACACAAAUAUACAUUGUCUUUUUGACAUAUUCCCCAUUUCCAUUUUCAAUUUUAUCUUUGUAAAACUAAAUUUGCAGCUAGAUUCAUUUAAAGAUAAAGCUAAAUAUCAAUGACUAGAGAUCAACAUAAGGCCAUUUUGGCAGUGUUUGUUGUUUCGGAAUUAAGGUACAAAGUGUGAAGCCCUUAUACCAAUAUGUGGUACAAAAUUUAACACUAAAAAUUCUGAGUACCGACAGAGUAAAGUCAUCAUUUGACUCGGAGGUAGGUCAGUUUGUAGGAUUAUAAUAUGUUUUAAAUUUCGAUUUCAGAAGCUUAAAAGCUUUAUCAUAAACUCAUCAUAGAUACCGGCAUUGAAAUUGUGUAUUUGUGCAAGACGCGCGUUUUGUUUACAAAAGACUCAUCUGAGAAGCUUGAAUAAAAAAAAAGUUUAAAAGGCAUAAAGUCCCGCUCAUCAUGGCAUUGGAUCCCAUUCGUAUCCUCUUCCUCAGUAAUUACCCUAGACCUCAUUUUUUUAAAGUUGAGAACUAAAUACUGCAAAGAAAUUAAUGUGUAAGACAAAUCUUUGUCUUUUGAAUUAAAUAAACAUUUCUUUAACAGUAUAUUCACAAAUCAAUGAUAUUUCAUGUUAACACAAAAGUGCUGACUACUGGGCUAAUGAUAUCAUCGGUGGCGGAAAGACCAACAGCAGUGACAUUUGAAUUUGAAUACCAAAAUAAGAAUAAAAAGCGUAAAUAUGUACGUGUUUUUCCCUUAAAUAGACUUAAAAAAAGGCGAAAGAUACAAGAAGGACAUUUAAACUCAUAAAUUAAAAAUAAUAUGACGUCAUGGCUAAAAAAAGAUACAAACAGACAUAGAAAAAUUACUACUAAGCAACACGUACUCCACCAACUGAGAGUAAUCUCAGGUGAUCCAGAAGGGUAAACAAACCCUCCUUCACAUGUGGCACCAGUCGUAUGGUCAGUGUUAGGACAAACCCUCCUUCACAUGUGGCACCAGUCGUAUGGUCAGUGUUAAGAAAAACCCUCCUUCACAUGUGGUACCAGUCGUAUGGUCAGUGUUAGGACAAACCAGAUAAUAAGUAUGUUCAUUUCAAUGAAUGAGAACAAAUGCUUUUCUAGUCUCAGGUUAUGAUCAUCAAAAAUACUAUAGCUGGCUAUCUAAUAGAGGUUAUACUGUGGAUUCAUUUAUUUUGGUGGGUACCAAUUUUCGUGUAUUGCUGAAAGCUUGCACUUUCGUGGAUAUUUGAUUUUGUAGUUUUCUAAAUCUUUGUAUGCAAUGCCUAUUGAAAUAUUUUUAUCGUUGAACCUUUACAUUUGUGGGUCACAUGUUCCCAUGAAACCCACGACAAUUUGUAUCCAAUAAAUAAACAUGAUUCCACAGUAACUGUGAACAAUGACUAUUAUUUCUAAAGUAUUCAGAACAAGUGUGUCCAUACACGGAUGCCCCACUCGCACUAUCAUUUUACAUGUUCACUUGAAAUUGUCAAUACUUUAAUUUGGCAUUAAAAUUAGAAAGAUCAUAUCAUAGUUAACAUGUGUACUAAGUUUCAAGUUGAUUGGACUUCAACUUCAUCAAAAACUUCCUUGACCCAAAACUUUAACCUGAAGCGGGACGAACGAACGGACGAACGAACGAACGAACGGACGAACGGAGGCACAGACCAGAAAACAUAAUGCCCCUCUACUAUCGUAGGUGGGGCAUAAAAAUAUCUUUUUUUCAUAAAACACUUUGUCUUAUUUCUUCAUGUGAACUUUGAGUUAUGAUAUUGAAAGUGAUGAUGACACGUGUAUAUAAAGAAAAAAAAAUUUAACAAGCCAUUCAAAACAAUAUUUCACCUGCAAAUUUUUAAAUGCAUUUUGAAUCAUAUACCUAUUAAAAUGUUAGUAAUGAACGGUAGCGUUAUAUACAUCUACAGAAGAAUGUUUAUACUGAUCGUUAAAGAUAAAGUUGUAAUAAUAUAAAAAUAGUUUCACUUGAGGUUUAUGAUGUAUUUAAAGUUAUUUAAGGAAUGACUGUAAUAUUUUUUCUGUUUAUGAAGAAAUAACAUAAAAAAAUUGGUGCACACUGAAUAACGCGCGUAGCGGGUUAUUUAACAGUGUGCACCACAUUUUUUAUGUUAUUUUGAAUAGACAGAAAAAUUAAAGUCAUUUCUUAUAAUUGCUUCUAAAUUCAUUUUAACGUAGAAAAUCAGAAAAACGUUGAUGACUCACGUCAAUACUAAAUUAUGCCUAUGGACUAUAACAAAAUACGCAGCAAUCAGAAGACGCGUUACUCCAAAUUAAAUUAUUUCAAGUUAAAGCAUUAAAAAAAAGCUAUAUAAACAUCAUGCAAUUGCAAACAAAAAAGAAACAACAAUGCACUUCUCACACAAAUUUCUAUUCUUUAAGGAUUGACAUGAACACCAGUACAGAAUCGUGUUUUAAUAACAUAACUAUUUUUCAUAAUUAUGUAUUUUUUACAUGUUCGUGUGCGAAAAGAGAUGAAAGAUACCAAGAACAGUCAACCAUAAAUCUAAAACAACUGACAACGCCAUGCUAAAACUGAAAAAGACAAACAAACAAGCAACAUACACAACAUAGAAAACAAAAUGACAACACGAACCCAUCAAAAAACAAGGAUGAUCUAGGGCUCCGGAGGUAACAUGUUCACAUUGGCACCGUCGUGUUGCUAUUAUACAAAUCCGUAAAUAGUUAAUUCGUAGUCAUAUUCAUCAAAGGAAGAGGAUUGUGUUACGAUGAAAGAACAUCCCACAGAUUUGUGAAACGGUAUCAUAAGGUCAACCAAUCGUGAUGGCUCCGUAAAUUUACGAAGGAUAUUUCAACUUCACCAUUUGGACUCUGGUUUAAUAGCUCUUUGUGAGCAGCACCUCUAUCAAGAAAAUCAUGAUAGGAAAUGCAAGCACGGUAUCGUAUCAAUUGGAGAAUAUACCCGUUGUAGGUGCUGCUGGAAUGUUGCUACUUAGAAAUGAAACGUUCACAAUUGGAAGCUGAAAUCAUCUCUUUUGUUCGAAAGUUUUGUUUUCAACCGACGCUUAUUGUCAAUUUCUAGAUGUAAGUCAAGAAUGAGGCGACUUAAUGUAUCUGGUAGUAUCUGUUAUUCUAGCUCGAUAGGAUAGAUGCGUCCACAGUCCAAUUUUGAAUUAUUUAGUGAAAGAACAUCAUCUAUAUAGCGAAAUUAGGUUAAGAUAUUACUAACUUCUUAUCUUUCUUCCUAAGAGUCCUGCAUGAAGUCACCUCAUAUAAUAAAGAACAGAUACAGAUACUCAUCGCAAGCUGAAUAGUUUUUGAUUUUAUAGGUAAUUAUAAAACAUCAUCGUCUGGCUCAUGGGACGUUGACGAUCUACUUUUGAUGCAAUUUUAUCAUUCUAUUUUACAACCCCUCCCCCGGCCCCUUAUCCAUAAUUUUUGAAUUAACGAUAACGUUGAAAUUCUUUAUCUUAUAUCCUAGUUCUAAUGUGAUUGGUAGAUCUUAUAUGUGUUUACGUAUGCAAGUUUUUAUUUUAUGACUAUUCAAAACAGUAUUUUAUUUUCUCUUUUCAAAUUCAUUUUUCAUCCCGUAUCAACGGAAAAUAUUGUUAACAAAUGGUAGAGUUAAAGACAUCUUCAGAAGCAUAUUUGUUACGAAUAAACAUUAAAAAAGAUUGCGCUGCUUUGUGAUGUAGUAAAAAUUAUUUUUAGUUAAAUCAUUUGUAACAGCCAUUUUGAAAUCGUUCAUUCGAUAAAAGUUUUAAAAAAAAUAUUACACUUUUCAUACGAAUUUAUAUUCUUAAAAGAUUGAAAUGAACUGCAGCAAAUCAUUUUAUUUCUUUAUCAUUAGUUUAUACUACUCUUUUAUAAUUUUGUAAUGAAAUUUUUAUCAAAUAUUAAAACAGGAUGUUGACCAUUUCUUUACGUAUACAUACACGUAUUUAUUUUCAAAACAUUCAAAACAGUAGCGGAUUGCCCUUCAAAAAUGUACUUUAAAUCACAAAAUAAAGGAACGUGAAGUUAAUGGAAGAGUCAUAAAAUUAACAUAAUCUGUAGCGUAUAUAUACUGAUCGUUAUAGAUAAUGUUGUAGUAAACAUAAACAUAAUUUCAGUUAAUGUGUGUGAUGUAGUAAAUUUAUUUUAGUUAAACCAUUUGUAAAAGCCAUGUUGACAUCCUUCAUUUAGCAAAUAAAAAACGAAAAACAUUGCACUUCUUUCACGAAUUUCUAUUCAUAAUUACGUAUUUUUUAACAAAUAUAUACACAGGAUGUUGACCAUAUAUUUGUUUACGUAUGCAAGUACUUAUUUUCAAACGAUUCAAAACAAUAACGGUUUUACCCUUCACAAAUGUACUUUGAAUCACAUAUUAACAGAAAGUGGUAGUUAUGAAGUAAAUGGAAUAGUCAUAAACAUAAUCUGUAUAUAACAGUUUCAGUUGAUGUUUGUGAUGUAUUAAAAGUUAUUUUUAGUUCAAUCAUUUGUCUAAGCCAUGUUGACAUCGUACAUUUGCAAAAAAAUGGCUUUUCUUACAUGAAUUCAAAUUUUCAAAAGAUUGAAAUGAACACGAGUAAAGAAUCAUAUGUUUUAGUUUAAACUACUUUUUAUAAUAAUUGUGUAUUUUUAACCAAUGUCAGUACAUUUUAUUAGUGAUAACGAUAAUAAAAUAUCAUCAACAACAGCUGAAAUAUUUAUACUGAUUGUUAGAGAUUAUGUUGUAAUAAACAUCAAAAGACUUUAGCUUGAUGUUUGUGAUGUAUACGUUGUUUUAGUUCAAUCAUAUGUAAAACGUCAUGUGGACAUCGAGAUAUUAUACAUAAUAAAAGAGACAACUAUAUGUAAACAUGUUUCUCGAAUUAAUUAUCCUAAAAGAUUGGGAUGAACACCAGGAAAGAAUCUUAUUUUAUUAAAAUUAAUUUAAUCUACUUUUCUAUAUGAUGAUUUUGUAACAAAUAUCAGCACAGGAUGUUAGUGAUUACGCUUAUAGAUAUUCAUCUGCACCAGCUAAAUAUUUAUACUGAUUGUUAAAGAUAUUGCUGUAGUAAAACAUGAUCGUCUAUCUCAUGGGAAAAUAUUGAAUGUUUUCGUGAUGAAAGGAUGUUAUGAUAAAAUUACCUUUCAUGCUCACUGUAAUUAGUUGAAUUUUAUUUACCUUAUCAUACUUUUUGAAUUCGAAAAGGAAACAUAUCAAAGCUGAAAACUGACUUGAUGACUUUUUUUGAAUACAUUUCUCAAUCAUUGACUUAUCACUUUUGUUCGAUUACGAAUAUAAUGAAAUAUAUGAUUUCGAAAGUUAGGAGCACCUGAGAAUCACCAUAGUUUUUGGUGGGUUCGUGUUGUUUAUUCUUUAGUUUUCUAUGUUGUGUCGUGUGUACUAUUGUUUUUCUGUUUGUUUUUUCAUUUUUAGCCAUGAGUUGUCAGUUUGUUUUAGAUUUUGAGUUUGACUGUCCCUUGGUAUUUUCGUCCCUCUUUUUUAGGACUAUCAAAAAUAGAACUAAUAUUAAAACAUAAUUCGCCAAACAGUCUUUUGAAUGUUAACGUAGACAAUUUGAGUUUAUUUUUCAGUAUCAACUUUGAAUCAUAUAUCAAAUUAUAUAUUUAAAGAACUGUAUGCAUGAAAACUUUUAAUAAGAUUUGAUUCGCACAAAUUAAGCUCUUUGAAUCGUGAUAAUUGAAAUAAAUUGAAUAUAAUAUGAUAAUUGAACAAAUUGACAUGACAUUUCAAGAUGUAUUUUAUCCAAAUAGAAUGUGAUUAAUACAUAUAAUCGGAUAGUAAUAUGUACAGAGCUUUAUGCUUUAAAUAUUAGUGAAAUGAAGAUGAUAUAUGUGUUUAACUUCUUUGUCUGAACUAUAACCUAACUACUGAACCUGUGCAUGGUGAGUACGCUUCUUUUGGUAAUCAUAAUAUACUUAUCGAAAAAAGUUAAACAACAGACAUCAUACUGAAAAUUAUGUGAACCAAAACUCCAUUUAUCUUUUAAGUUUUUUAUCUUCCGUUAUUGUUUGUUCAACAGUUCUUCAACUAUGUUGUCAAAUUUCAAAAGCUAUACUAUUCGCAACUAAGGAGGUUCGCUACUCUGUCUAAAAAUAACAAGCCUUUUAAAGACUGUUAGAAAUUGAUAGUAUAUAAAUAAAUAACCUAAAAAGGCAGAAAAAAUGGAGGUCCGUGUUCUUGUUUUCGAGAUAUAACAUCUGAAAAUUGGCGGAAAUAAUUCUCUAGAUUUUUAUUUCACUUAACAUUGCAUUUUUGUUAAAAAAAUAUGAAAAAAUAAGGAUUUCAUAAGAUUUUUGAAAAUAAUGCAUUUUUAAACAAUAUGUAAUACAAAUAUGAAAAGAAAAGUAGGGGUUAGUGGGUAUUUGUAAUGUUAAUACAUGGAUGAAACAGAGAUCCGAAAAUCUGGCAAAAAUUCAAAAAAUAGAGAGCAAACAUCCUUAAGAGAAGAUGUCAAAAUUGAAAUCCACAGUUACAACUUUUUUCUAAUGGAAAAAGAUUACAAAGCACAAUUUGGGAUUUAACAUCAAUGCCAUGAGAAUUAUAUCAAUGCAAAAAAUUCGCAGUUUGAGGUGGCACUAUUUUACUCCUACCAAUCUUAGUAUUUUCUAAUAACUAUUUGACAUCAUUUACAAUAAGAAUAGUUUGAUUUUUCUGAAAAUAACGACCCUUAAGGCAAAAAAGCUAACUUAAAUAAACCAUUCGAAUUAUUUUGAUUUGUUUGAUAUAUAAAGAGGUAAAUAAAUCUGAACUUGAGAAUAAGAUCAUGCAGAUUAGUCCUUGUGAUAAAUAAGAGGUAAAAAAAAUCUGAAGAUUGAGAAUAAGAUUAUCUUGUGAUAAUAAAGAGGUAAAUAAAAUCUGAACAUUGAGAAUAGAUUAGUCCUUGAGAUAUCACUUUGAUUUCACAACAUUGCAAGAUUUACGUAUUUUAGCCAAUUAGUUAUUUUGAGCAAUGUUGGUGAUCAACACAUAUAGAGCAACUGCAUAUUUUACACAAAUAUAAAUUGUCUUUUUGACAUAUUCCCCAUAUUCCAUUUUCAAUUUUAUCUUGUAAAACUACAUUGCAGCUAGAUUCAUUUAAAUAAAGUAAUAUUAAUGCUAGAGAUCAACAUAAGGCCAUUUUGGCAGUGUUGUUGUUUCGGAAUUAAGGUACAAAUUUAAAGCCUUAUGUGGUACAAAAAAAAGUAAAAUCACAAAAAUCCUGAACUCAGGGAAAAUCAAUUCGGAAAGUCUAUAAUCAUGGCAAAAAAANNNNNNNNNNNNNNNNNNNNNNNNNCCCACACCGAGGAGAUUUGUUUUAUUCUAAAAUUUGCUUGUUACAAGACAAAAUGUUAGAAAUUAUUUAAAUUAAGGAAUGUAUCUCCCUCAUGCAAAGCUCUGAUUCCUUUCAUGAAUUUGGCUAUACUUUUGAAACUUUGGAUUAUAGCUCUUCAUCUUUUAUAUAAGCUUUGGAUUUCAAAUAUUUUGGUCACGAGCAUCACUGAGAGACAUGUAUGUCGAAUUGAGCAUCCGGUGCAGAAAAAUUGGUACCUUUAAUUGUUAUACUACCACUGGGUCGAUGCCUCUGCUGGUGGACUGUUAGUCCGCGAGGUAUACACAGCCCAGUAGCCAGUACUCCGGUACUUGCAUGAAAAUACGGUUUUUGUUUUAUUAAAAUUUGCCUGUUACAAACUGUUAGAAAUAUUAUAAAUUAAGAUGUAUCUCCCUCAUGCAAAGCUCUGAUUCUUCAUGGAUUUGGCUAUACUUUUGAACUUUUGGAUAUACUCUUCAUCUUUUAUAUAAGCUUUGGAUUCAAAUAUUUUGGCCACGAGGCAUCACUUAAGAGACAUUGAUGGUCAAAAUGCGCAUCUGGUGCAGAAAAUUGGUACCGUUAUUGUUAUAUUAACAUCCUCAUUUUGUUGUAUAUCAUACGAUUUAAUUUAUCUAUGUAAAAUGCACCCAUAAAGGAUGGAGGGUUUUAAGUAGUGGGUGAAAAUUGCACGUUUGAAAUUCGCAGCAGGUGACAUGAAAUAUUUUGACGUUCAAAGUAUGACGGGAUACAUAAAUACAGUCACGUAAAAUAGAAAUAACAAAAACAGACUUAACAGUAAAGUAAUAAAUAUAAAUAAGAUGUAUGUGUGUUCAAAUUAAAAUCGUCUCGUUUGUCACAGAUUCUGGUAUGAGAUGACUGUGUAAGUCAAUUACGAGAUGUAAGUCUAAAUUUAAAACUAAAAUAACUGAGUACGACAGAGUAAAGUCAUCAUCUGAGGUAGGUCAGUUUGUAGGAUUAUAAUAUGUUUUAAAUUUCGAUUUCAGAGCUAAAAUCUUUAUCAUAAACUCAUCAUAGAUACCGUGCAUUGAAAUUGUGUAUUUGUGCAAGGACGCGCAUUUGUUUACAAAAACUCAUCAGAGAAGCUUGAAUAAAAAAAAAGUUUAAAAAAAACUAGUUAAUAAUCACAUGCCAUUUUGGAUCCCAAUUAUAACUCGUAUCCUACCUCUUCCUCAUAUUACCCUAGACCUCAUUUUUUAAAGUUGAGAACUAAAUACUGCAAAGAAAUUAAUGGUAAGAAACAAUCUUUGUCUUUUGAAUGAUUAAACAUUUCUUUAACAGAAAAUAUAUUCACAAAUCAAUGAUAUUCUCAUGUUAACAAAAGUGCUGACUACUGGGUAACUGAUAUCAUGUGCGGAAAGACCAACCGCAGUGACAUUUGAAUUUGAAUACCAUAUAGAAUAAAGCGUAAAUAUGUCGUGUUUUUCCCUUAAAUAGACUUAAAAGAAGGCGAAAGAUACAAGAAGGACAUUUAAACUCAUAAAUUAAAAAUAAUCUUGACGUCAUGGCUAAAAAGGAUGACAAACAGACAUAGAAAAAUUAUACUAAGCAACAGUACUCCACCAAAACUGAGAGUAAUCUCAGGUAUCCAGAAGGGUAAACAAACCCUCCUUCACAUUGGCACCUCGUAUGGUCAGUGUUAGAACAAACCCUCCUUCACUGUGGACCAGUCGUAUGGUCAGUGUUAAAACAACUCCUUCACAUGUGCACAGUCGUAUGGUCAGUGUUAGGACAAACCAGAUAAUAAGUUGUUCAUUUCAAUGAAUGAGAAACAAUGCUUUUCUAGUCCAGGUUAUGAUCUUCAAAAAUACUAUAGAAUAGUCGCAUGGCAUUAAAGAAAGGUCGAAUACAUGUUUUUUUCUGUAAUCAAAUCUUAUUGUUGUACGAAAGCUUAAAAACAAGCAGCUUUUUAAACAUGCAUCGUAAUUAACUUUGAGCGUUUAAAAAUUACGACGUCGAAAAUGGCUUUGAAACGACAAUCCUUAGCUAUGUGACGCAACAUAAAAAACAUAAAAAAUAAGCUACAAAACAUUUAAUUGACAUCAAUAAAGAAAGUAGAUAUGUCUAGAAAUCCCGUGUCCUCAGUACUGAUAUGCCGGUUUAAAAAAGAUCCUAUCACUGCUCCUAUAUUUGCAGUAUUUCUUUUUUCUUUACUUAGGUUAUGUGUAUAUAGUAUAAGAAGAUGUGGUAUGGUGCCAAUGAGACAACUGUCCAUCAAAGUCACAUUUGUAAAGUAAACCAUUAUAGGUCAAUGUACGGUCUUCAUACGGAGCCUUUGUUCACAGUGAACAGCUAAUGAUAAAAGAGCCCAAAAACUCACAAGUGUAAAACCAUUCAAACAGUAAAACAACGGUAUAAUCUAUAUAAACUAGAUACAAGAAACACUUAUGAACACAUCAACAAACGAUAACUGCGAAAAUUAGGUUUUUGAGAAAUGCAGCGGGUUGUAAAAUUUGAAAACAGCAGUUUAAUAAUUUCUUGCGUCCGAAGCGCUUUUCUGGAUUUACCUUCAUCAGGAACGCUCAAAGCAAACAUUUGAAAUCCUAAGAUGCAUAAGUACCAAAACCGUAGAAGAGCUACAUGUCAAAAAUAUCUAAAAUAAAUAGCCAAAUUCAUCAUUUUUUUAAAUAUUUCAUAUCAGGAUGGGUUCACGGUCAUGGGAUUUAAACUAGUUAUCUAGAUCUCAAUGCAUCAUAUACUUGAGUCAUAUAUCCUGGACUUAGGUUACAAUUCAAAUGUUUUUGACUUAUUAAUUCAGUUUGAAAUGACAAAUGUUCAUACAAACUGUUUAUAUCCAUGCAUAUUUAAGGGUAAAUUUUGAUCUGAGCGUCACUGGUGAGUCUUAUGUAGACGAAACGCGCGUCUGGCGUACUUAAUUAUAAUCCUGGUACCUUUGAUAACUGGUUAUAUCCAUUCAUAUUUAAGGUUAAUUUGCAAUAUUCUAAUCUUUUGAUCAAUGACAUCAAUAUUGAAAAAUUGCUUUCUGUCGAAGCUCUUUUCUAGCUGUACUUUAAUCUGAAAAGAUGAUUUAUUCCAUUUAUUAUUUAAAUUAUUCAUUUAAGUGAAACGCCUCAAAGAGUUUUUCAUAUUAAUUUCAUAAUUUAAAGGUUUUACCGAGCCUUAAUAUUGAAAAAAACUAGAUAUUCAUAAAUAAAACAUGAAUGUAUCCCAAUGAUUCAAAUAACACGAUUACAUCGUAAAAGCAUUUUUAAGUGAUGAAAUAUUUUUUAUGAUCCUUUUGAUCAACUGUAUUGACAUUUCGUCACUUAGACAAUGUAAAAAAUAAAUUGAAAUAUUCUCAUUAUGAAUAUUAAAAUAUUUUAAGGAGCAAUAGUUUAAAGCUAGUUGACAGGAAUAUGAUAUAAUGGUGCUAUAAUAAAUAUGACAUUUGCGGAUCCAUUUUAUGACAAUUUCCAGCGGAGAAUUUAACACGUAAAAUAAUGAUAGCAAAAAGUGUAUAAAAAAUAUAAAAUUACGUUCAGAAAAUAUAUACAAAUAUAUUAUUAAUGCUAAGCAUGACGAAGUAAAUGUUGCAAUCAACAAGGAUAUUAAUGUGAAUUCUCUAUCAGAUAUAUAGCAAACAUAAAAAUACGCUACUUGGAAGAUAAAUUGCUCUCGGUAAGUUUGACUUUUCUUAAUUGAUUAUGCAGAAUUGUAUUUAUAUCGUAUUGCUUGGUAGUUCUAUUACCAACUGGACUAAGAAGUACUGUUAUCAAAUGCCUGUCAAUCACGUAUUUUAUUUCCUUUAAAAACGUUCAUUGCAUGUUCACAUUGGAAAUGUUUGAACGUAGAGAGUUUUUAUCAUGAUCUUGUUGAAAAAGAAGUUGAAUAUAUAUAACAGAAGGACUUUAAAAACUCAAAAGUCAUAAAAAAAGGUAAAGUUAGAUAGUCAAGAUUAUCUGUCGAAAAGACAAAACAUAAUCUAAAAUCACACUAUCAAAACAACUGAAGACUGAUCUGUUUGCUAAAUACGACUACUGAGGUCCCCUGUUAGUAUUUGUUAAAUUCGCACUUUUCAAAAAAAUGUGCAGAAUUUAUUUUUUGGCAUGAGUAAAACUUUAUCAUGCCUCGUACUAUAGUCAAAAUUUUAUAUAAAAUUUCAUUGAAUAGAAGAAAUACCCAUCAAUUGAAUUAACAAAUCAAAUUUUCAACUCUUUUUUACUUCUGUGCAAGCUUCAAUAACCAUGUAGCCUCAAGUUUCCAAAAUAUCCUGCAGAAACCCCAAAUAAAAACAAAAUGGUGCUUUGAAAUAACCAAUAUAUAUGUUUAUCACACAGACAGUUUUUACUGCAAUGAAAUGUAAGAUAAAUUACCUUCAAUUGUCAAAGUCAAUGCAUUUUUACGACCCUUUUUGGUAUGCAACCGAAUGUGACUUACUAUGAUUUUGUGGUAUUGCAUCUGUAGAAAUAAUUAUUUUUUGGGCCAGUGAAUGUCACAUUAACAUAUCUUAACCUAUCUUACAAGUUGGAGGUUAAGCUAGUUUAAAACCCGGAUUGAUCCACCAUUAUCUUCGAGCAAUUCCUGUUUCAUAAUUAUGAGAGCUACUUACCUUUCUAAUCGUUCGAUAUUAAGUCAAAGUUUUAAUGAACUUACCCUUUUUGAAUGUAACUGUCAUGUUUAUCAUUAUUUUUCUUUUUUUCUUUUUUGUGAGUGCCAACGAGACAACUGUCCACAAAAGACCCAGACAUUAACAACUAUAGGGCAUCGUAAGGCCUUCAAUAACGAUCAAGCUCAUAUUGUAUAGUCAUCUAUAACAAUAUCUAAAAUACCCAAUGCGAAACUAACGGUGGAAGUUAUUUCUAAAAUAAUGAUCGAAAAAUUAUACAGCAACAAACGACAAACACUACAUUAAAGAAUGUGGGGGGGUAAAGUUUGUGUGCUGGCGCUAAAUCCUCCCUCUUUUGGUACCUUUUCAAACCCUUUUUGUCACAUGUGUCAUUUCUUGUCUGUAAUAUAGUAAUAUUAUCUGGCUGUUUCUGUAUUGGCCCUGUUAUAGAUUCGUGGUUAGCUGUAUUGGACCCAAGACUCGAAGAUUGAAAGUUCAAUACAGCUGAUCGAGAAUCUAAAACAGGGGCAAUACAGAAACAGCCAGUUCAUAACCCUUUUAUUAAAUGAUUUGAAAGGAACAUAUAAUGAAGAUGCUACAGAAAUUCAUAUCUGAAAUUGGGGAAACUUUUCUUUUCACAUAUUUCACGUCAAUGGAUUUUUUGUCAACAUUAUCAGAGGUUAUUUCUGAUUUCUCGUCCAAGUACUCAAUAUUUUGCUAUCUAGCUAAUGUAAAGAAGCUAGGAAGAAUAAAUCAGACAGCUUAACUAUUCUCACUCUUUGAUCGUCUGCGUUCUUGUGAUUGGUCAACUGAAAUUAAAACAAUUAUGUCAAUAAUUGAAAGUCGUAUUCGAAACUUUUUAUUCUAUGAUUUUCAUUAAUAAAAAAAAUAAUGUUAAAAAAUGUUUUUAUACAUAACGAUAUGUCCCAAGUUAGAUAAGGCGUAAUAAAAUUUAAACCAGAACUGAACGUCCCGUAUUACAUGUAGCGCAUGGGCCAAUACGAUUUAUUCCGUAUUGGUCCUGUUUGAAAGCAUAAUGAACUCUUGAUUCAAAUCGACAGUGGAAAGUCAUCAGUAUUACACAUUGAUUUGUUCGUAUUACGGCUGAUUUGCUCAUAUCAUAUAAUAAUUUACAUUCUAGUUUGCUAUGUUUUUAACUUUCUAAACGUAAUACCAAAUUAAUAAAGUUGAAAGGUCAGGUCGUCUAUCAAAUCAUAAAAAAUGUAUAUUAGUAUUCAGUAGAUUCGAAGAUUGUUAAAAUCCUCAAUAAUACUUAUGUUAAAUGAUCUUUAAAUCAAAGACAUCCUUAUAUAUAGUAAACGUAAGUUCCGAAAUAUUGCAUGAAAGGGAAAUAGAUACCAUGUACGCAGACUCAAGGAAACAAGGAUCAUAAUUGGGAAACUGACAUCAUAAUAUCUGUCGGAAAGUUUUGUACUCAAAAUAUCGUCAUUGUCUGUUUCGAUUUACAUAUUUAAGUAGAGGGGCUGCGGUGGCCGAGCGGUCUAAGUAAACAUUAGCCAGUCAACAAUGAGGUUGUGAGUUCGAACCCCUCUCAUACGAGUGCACUCGUCUUAAUUUACUAGGAUCAUCAGUUUUUCUUAUAGGAAGUGAGUGGUUUUCACCGGGCACUCCGUAUUCCUCCACCAAUAAAAUCUGGCUGCAACGAAACAGCGGUCCUUAAAAGGGGCGUUUAAACAAAACAAAUCAAAUCUUCCUGUGCUGAGUAAUUAUGACAAUGCCUGUUAUUUUCAACAUCGUUAUUAAACAUCAUUACUAAUCCAAAAUGAGGUCAAAUAACAAAGCAUUUAAUGUAUGUGUGGGAUGAAAUAAACAAUUAUUCUCAUGAUCUUUUUGAACUAAUUGUAGUCUCAUUUCAGUAUCAAAUGAAAAAAAAUGAUUUCCUCUUUUAUAUGCAUGAUUUAUCAAAUCUUUCACAGAGAGACAGUUUAAAGCUAAGUGAACAGAAUAAGAUUUGAUGGAGCAGUAAUUGACAUGAUAUUUUCAGAUGAAAACAGAGUCAAUUUCAGGAAGAAGGCUAUACACGUGUAAAAUGAUAGUAAUGACGACAAUAUAAGAAAUAUAAUCAAGUUGAGAAAAUAUGUAUAAAGAUACUUUGUGUUAUCACGACAGAUAUUAAUGUUAAUUCUCGUUCAUAUAUAAAGCAAAUUCACAUUUUCGCUAUUCGGAAAAUAAAUUGCUCUGAGUAAGUUUUUGGUUUAAAGGUGGUACCUAACACCACACAGGGAGAUAACUCUGUAAAAUUAGCUAACGUUUUAAUCACGUUGUAUUGUUAAGGAAAUAUUAAGCUUCUCAAUGAUCAGAAUGAGUGUUUGUUAAACUGCUAUAUAUCCAACAUUUUUUUCUCCGAGAAAGUCAUUGGUUCAAGUCUUUUGAAAUUUUGAUAUUUUUUCAAAGGGUCAAAGUAAAUAUUUUGUCAAUAAUUUAAUGAAAAUUUAACGAGCCAAAUUAAUUUUAGUCAAGGUGUUUUGUACCACCUUAAUUUAUUAACCUGGAUUUCUUUUCUCUUAACUGAUUUAUGACUUUAGUAGAGAGAUUUCAAAUCAUAAAUAUGUUUUGUAUUCAGUAGAUUCGACAAGAUUAUAAAAAUCUCAGCUAAUAGCGAAUGUUCAUAUUCCUUAAAUAAAGAAUUCCUGAUUAUAGUAAAAGUAAAAUCGAAACGGAUUGUUCCGAAAUAUUACAUAAAGGAAAUAGAUAUGGUUUAAGACUUUGGCUGAAAUAUUUUUAUGAUAAAUAAAACGGGUGAUCAGGAAGUACAUCAUCAUAUCUAUCGUAAAGUUUUGUCUUAUAUCGUCAUUGUCUAUUUCGAUUACAUUGUCAGUGGAUACAGUUUUCGCUAACACGAUUCGAUCUCUGCGCCAGAGGAGGCGGUGGUCGAGAGUUCAAGUAGUUCCUACUUUAACUUACUACCAGUUCAACAAUAAAGUGAGAUGUGCGAACCGCUCUCGUGCAUUGCACUCGACUACAAAUCUUAGUUUAACCGAGGAUUGUCAGUUUUCUAUCGAAGUUAGUGUUUUCUUCCCCGGGCAUAUGGCUACACACACCAAUAAAAAUGGGCCACCGAAAUGCUCAAUAGAGGUCCUAACAAGAGCGAGUUUAAAACAAAACAAAUCUUCCUGCGAUGGGUUCAUUAUGAAUCUGUUAUUUUCAAUCGUAAUAAAACAUUGUCAUAAAUCAAAAUGAAGACAAAAUAAUGAAUUUUGAAAGCAUGUAAUAUGUGUGUGAAGAACAUGAAUAAUUUUUUCAUGAUUAUUUUUUGAAACUAAAAUGAUUUCUCUUUAUAUGCAUGAUUAAAAAAUCAAAUCUCCAGAGAGACAGAUUUUAAAGUAAGUGAACAGUCUAUAUUUGAUGAAUAAUAAUUGAAUUAUUUUUCAGAGAUGAAUACUGAGUCAACUUCAGGAAGAGGGCUGCACAUGUAAAAUGAUAGCAUGAGAAAUAUAAAAAUAUUUCAAGUUUAGAAAAUGUGUUAAGUGUGUUUCAGACAGAUAUAUGUUAAUUCUCAUUCCAGAUAAUAGCAAAUUCAAUUUUCGUAUUCGGAAAAUACAAUUGCUUUAGUAAGUUUUUGGUUUUAAGGUUGGUAUAAAACUCCCAGAGUGAUAACAUCUGCAAAACUAACGUUUUAAUCACGUCUGUGUUGUAUAAGAAAUAUAUCUUUCAAUGAUCAGAAUGAGUGAGUGUCAAACUGCUAUAUAUCCACACAUUCUUUCCGAGAAGAGUCAUUGGUUAAGUUUUUUGAAAUUUUGAUAUUUUUUUUUCAAAGGGUCAAUUAAUAUUUUGUCCAAUAUUUUAAUGAAAAUUUACGAGCCAAAUUAAUUUUAGUCAAGGUGUUGGGUACACCUUAAUUCAUUAACGCUGGUUUUUUUACUUUAACUGAUUUUGACUUGUGAAUACAGUCAUACUAUCUGUUGCUGUAAUAUGAUCUUCUUGACGUUUUAUAUAAUAGUUGACAAUCCGAAUUAGCUUUAAUAUAGUAGUUUUAACCGAUAGAUGACUAGACAGUCGAUAAUUUUAUUAAUUAUUAUAUAUAUUAGAUUUGAUAAAACAGCAUAAUAGAAACUUUUAUUUUACUUCGUUAAACGUCUCCUACUUUUACAGAGAAUUUAUGGUAAAGGGAUUCAUGAAUUAAGAUUGUUUUUGGUAAUUAUUUCUCAUUAGAAAUACUUUUUUUCGUAGAUGUGAUAAAACAUGUAAAAUCUAAUUGUUUGUUGCAUAUAAGCUCAUCAUAGAUACCAGGAUUAAAAUUGUAUAUUUACGUCAGACGCGCGUUUCGUCUACAGAAGACUCAUCAGUGACGCUCGAAUAAAAGAAAUGUUUAAAAGGCCAAAUAAAGUACGAAGUUGAGGAGCAAUUGGAGGACCAAACUCCUUAACGUUUGGCCAAAUACAGUAAGAAUUUUUCCUGUGGUAGAAAGUUAGAAUUUCAAUGCAAAUUUUGUUAACAGUUAAUUAUAAUUAUGAAUAUAGUAAUGAUAACUUCAAGUCACAACAGAAGUGCAUACUGAGAUUGGAGACAUAUUUCAUCAUAGUUAAUAGCGUUCAAAAGUUGUUAUAUCUUGUCAUUGGAUCUUUAUUUGUUUUCUUUGAGACCGUGGUAUCAUCGGUAAGCAGAUUGUUACCCAGCGGCGUGGAUCGUUUGACUGGAUCAGUAUAUAAUCUGUGUUUGUUUUGUUUACAUAAUAGUAAUGUGUACUUAAUCUAUACAUAAUCUGUUUUUUACAAAAUGAUUUGUCGUUAGGUUGAUGACGUAGAGAAGUCUCAUUCCUUUUCAAAAACAAGGAACGCUUACUAAAAACACAGUGCAAAAAAAAGUAAAUCACAAAAAAUACUGACUCCCAGAAGAGAACCUAUUGGAAAGUAGCACACAUACGAAAUCAAAUGACAACAAUAAAAGUGAAAUGGUAAGAUCUGUCAUAAUUUCUGACAUGGACUUGCAUGUUUGAAUGCUUGUCAAAGAAAUUGGUGGUGACAGAAGUUCUUAUUUUUAUUACUCUGAAGAUGUCCGUAUGAACUUUUCCGAGAUUAAAAAAAAUACUUAUAUUUAAAGGUAGACCGGGUUUUUUUCUUGUUCAUAUCAAGUUUUGGGUAUUUCCUGCAUCUUUCUCGGGUGUACUUAAAUAUUGCAUGUAAGGAGUGAGUUUCUAGUAGGGGUAUACAAUAUUCUUGUCCUAAAUGAUAAAUUUCCAAAGUGUGUGCACUUCUUAAAGAGAGAGCGAGAUACCAAGGGAUAGUCUAACCUCAUAAUCUAGAAACAACUGACCCAGCCAUGGCUAAAAAUGAAAAAGACAAACAAACAACAGCACACACGACACAACAUAGAAAACUAAAGAAUAAACAACACGAACCCCAUUCUCAAGUAAUUCGCUUCGUGUUCAGUACGAUAUACUUCUUGUAAGUCGAUAUAUCAUCUAUCAAAUUCAUAUCAAGGCUACAAUUGUGUCAUAUUAUUUGAUCAGCUUCAUAUAAUGUAUUAUUUAAAUUUUAAUGAGAAGAUAUGAACGUUGAAAUUAAAAUUAACCUCGAAUGUUAGCUGUUUUUGUUAUCUGAUUCACACGUCAGAUAUUCCAUAUUUAUUUGAGAUAUUGAUGAUAAUGAAGGUCAACAUAUAAAUAAUUAAAAGUGCAUCAAAAUGUCUCCAAUAAGUCCAAUAAAUUAUUUCUGUUUUCUUGCAAGACCAUAUUGAUUUUAAACCCAUUUAUGGGAAAAUACUUUAUACAUUUGACUUAAACAUGUCAAACCGAUUUAUUAAUAAUGAUUAUGUCCUAGAAAUCAUUGAAGCAACAACGAUUUUAACACAAGUGAAUACUGAAACUUCAACAACCAUAUCACAGUGUAUAAACGCUUUUUGAGACGUUAAUAAUUGUACAGGAAAUUCUAAGAAGUUUGAUCUGGACAAAAUUUAAGAAUAAACAAAUACCAUAUGACAUAAUCAUCUAAUCAACCUACAAUCAAAUGACAAAACUGUCAAAACCGUGAGACCAAUACAAUCUUCACUUUAUCAUUUUGUUUUGAUAAAAUGGAUGAUUAUACUAACUAUAGUAAUUUGACAGAGUACGUGGUGCACUUAAACAUUCAUGCAGUUUAUUAUUUAACUAGCCGAGGUUUUACAAAUUUUAUAUCGUUUCAAGUAAAAUUAGUGUUGAAAUAGUUGAAUUAAGGAGUAUGAUGUUACAUGUAUAGACAGGCCAUCGGUUUUUUUUUUUACAUUUAAAAGAAAUUAUAACGAUUGUACCUGUAGGGAACUAUACGUCUUUUUAUAUAUAAUAUAAAUAUGUAUUUGAGGGAAUUCUGAACUUUUGUGUUUGGUUUCAGAUAGAAUGGAUGUAAAUCUGAAUUCUACAGUAAUGAAUAGUACCAACUCUCCGGGAAACGACAAGAAUAACAUAUUGUUAGCAGUGAGUAUCGUUUAAUAAAUAAAUUUGGUGUAUUUGUUGUCUUCUGAUUGGUUAAAAGUACUAUUUUUAUUUUCAAUGUUGUCAAUUUUUAUGGCGACACGUCCACUCUGACGUUGUGUAUUCAUACAAAAUAAUAUAAAAAGUUCUUUGAGCCUUAUUUUUUAUAGAAAUUUAUUUAUAAUGAAUGGCAAUAAUAUAUUUUGAAUUUAUUGAACAAUAAAAGUAUUUUUUUUUACUCUUCACAUUUUACAUAAUCCGCUUCGCGGCCAUUCAUUAAUUAUAAUACGAGUGCUAAGAUAAAACAAAUGUACACAAUUCAUUACAUUUUGUUUGCAGUCUAGUUAUUAUUGUUAAUAAAUUCCGGUUGCAGUAAAUAUACCUUUUUUUGUGAUAAAUACACCGCGUUUGUUUACUUUAAAGCCUGUUUGCAGUCCCGUUUAGAGUCAAUAAAUCUCUCAAGCUGUCAAUAAAUCCCUAUUGCAGUCUAUAAAAAUCCGAAUUUAUUCACAACAUCUCGUUUGCAGUUUAUAAAUUCCGGUGUAAUCACAGCAUCCCGAUCCGAGCCAAAACGUCCCGAUUGCAGUCAAUCAACCUAUGUUCGUGAUUAACAAAUUUAGUGUCUUUAUUCCUGGUAUGGGGGAAAAUGUGGUGCCCAUCAUUCUUCAAAGAAUAGAUACAUUUCAGAUUGUCCUAUUCUAAAUAAGUUGUUUUAUACCUGUUUUUAACAAAAAUGUUGACAUGAAUAUCAAUUAUAUGGUCAUUUUUAUAAAGGACUAGGUCCAGUAAGGGCCCAUUUUGGCCUAAAAUUUCAGGUUCAUCUGUUGAAAGAUAUUGUACACUUUUUUAAAAUUUUAAGUGUCUACUUCAGUCGAUUCAAUUUGUUUGUAUUUAAGAUUUCAACUGAUUUAGUCAUUUCAGACGCUCAUAUGUAAGCUUAAAAAAAAACUAUCAAAUAUGCCAUAAUAUGUUUCUUUUUCAGAUAGUUUUUGAAAAAAAUGAAAGUGGCCGCAUCCGUGUUCACCCUCAACCUUUAUAUAUGUUAUGUAUUAUAAUCAAAUACAACUUACAUUUAAAUAUUAAGAAUGAACACGAAUGCGGCCACUUCCAUUUAAAACGAAACGAAAACCGUCUAAAUUUCAACUCAAAUGCUAAAAUUGUGAAGAUUUCAGUAAUUUAGCAUGAUUUAAUGUGCAUUGUAUUGUCAAAAACAGACCAUAGCAGAAGUAUUUUACUUUCCAAUAAAUAGCUAAAUGUUUACUUUAUAAAAAUUUUGUAAAAUUGAUAUAUUUUGGGGCCAAAAAAGGGUUUACCUGAACUUACUCCUUUCCUGUUCAAAACUUUGAACUUUUCGAAAAAAUUACGGAUUUUCUUAUCCCAAGAAUAUAUUACCUUAGCCGUAUUUGGCACCACUGUUUGGACUGUUAGGUCCUCAAUGCUCUUGAACUUUGUACUUGUUUGGCUUUAUUACUACUUUUAUCUGACGAAUGGAAGUUUUAACAACCUUGACUGGCUAUACAGCCCUUGCACGGUCUGUAUAUGAGCGUCACUGAUGAGUCUUAUGUAGACGCAACGCGCGUCUGGCGUAAUAAAUUAUAAUCCUGGUAUCUCUGAUAACCAAUUAACGUUAUAUUGUUCAUUUCCAAUCGUUUUUAGGGAGACGGAUUUAUAAAAGAGGGAGACGGAUUAUAAAAGUUUUUCCAAACUUGUUCCGAAUCCCAUAUUUGUACUUUAUGUAACAUUGUAAUAUUUGUCUUGAAAUUGUUUAUAAUAAAUAUUGUUUAAACUAAUCGUUUUCCGAAUUUUUCAUUUUAUUUAAACAGUAUUGCUAAUAUAUUUUAUGAUCCCUACUUUAUCAAAACUUGAUAAAAAAUUUCGUAUCUGCAUAAUAAUCACUAACACAAAUGAAAUUUCCAUUCAACAUAGUUUGACAAAAAAUGAAUUGCUUUUUUAAUGCUUAUAAAAUCAAUAUUGAAAAAUCGGAUAGAAGAAAAAGAAUUCGACGCAAUGUGAUGACGUUUACUUUUUUAUUACUGCAGCAUGUUAUCAGUGUAAAAAGAGAGGAAAUGAAAAAAGAUAAUUUUAAGUAGAUAUGACAAGAAAAAUGUUUCAGGAAUAUGACAGUUGAUAUCCAUUCCUUUUUUGAUUUUACCAUUUGAUUAGGGACUUUCCAUUUUGAAUUUUCUUUGUUGCUCAGUAUUUCUAUACAAAAAUUCAUUUCUUUUUAGAUUUAUAUAUCUGGAUGGAUAUGUGUAGCAGAAGGCAUUUUGACAGUUAUUUUCAAUGGUCUAGUUAU
rnacentral:lncRNA from 1 species